rnacentral:snRNA from 1 species
AUACUUACCUAGCAGAGGAAACAUUAUGAUCAAGAAGGUGGUUUUCUCAGGGUGAGAUUUAUCCAUUGCACUGUGGGUGUGUUGACCCUUGUGAUUUCCCCAAAUGUGGUAAACUCAACUGCAUAGUUUAUGUUAGUGGGGGAUUGCAUUUGUGCUUUCUCCUG